UACGGAGGGUGCAAGCGUUAAUCGGAAUUACUGGGCGUAAAGCGCACGCAGGCGGUCUGUCAAGUCGGAUGUGAAAUCCCCGGGCUCAACCUGGGAACUGCAUUCGAAACUGGCAGGCUAGAGUCUUGUAGAGGGGGGUAGAAUUCCAGGUGUAGCGGUGAAAUGCGUAGAGAUCUGGAGGAAUACCGGUGGCGAAGGCGGCCCCCUGGACAAAGACUGACGCUCAGGUGCGAAAGCGUGGGGAGCAAACAGGAUUAGAUAC
rnacentral:rRNA from 1 species